UGGGGAAUUUUGGACAAUGGGCGCAAGCCUGAUCCAGCCAUUCCGCGUGAGUGAAGAAGGCCUUCGGGUUGUAAAGCUCUUUCGGCAGGGAAGAAAUCGCAUGGGCUAAUAUCCUGUGUGGAUGACGGUACCUGAAUAAGAAGCACCGGCUAACUACGUGCCAGCAGCCGCGGUAAUACGUAGGGUGCGAGCGUUAAUCGGAAUUACUGGGCGUAAAGCGUGCGCAGGCGGUUUGGUAAGACAGAUGUGAAAUCCCCGGGCUUAACCUGGGAACUGCGUUUGUGACUGCCAAGCUAGAGUACAGCAGAGGGGGGUGGAAUUCCUGGUGUAGCAGUGAAAUGCGUAGAGAUCAGGAGGAACACCGAUGGCGAAGGCAGCCCCCUGGGUUGAUACUGACGCUCAUGCACGAAAGCGUGGGGAGCAAACA
rnacentral:rRNA from 1 species